AAAAAAAAAAAAGGAAAAAAAUUAUAUGCUAUAAACUUCAAACAUCAGCAGUUAUUUGGGGUGAGUUGGUUGUCCAUUGCAUUAGUGAAUUUCAUUGAAGUACAUUUAAAAAAGGUGUAAAAAUGACUGAUUAUAGAAACAAUUUUAAAUUACCUAGUGAUGGCAUGCUUUGAGACAUUAGCUGACUAAGGGCAUAUUACGGUUGGGAAA
rnacentral:misc_RNA from 1 species